GGAUGUGAGGGCGAUCUGGCUGUGACAUCUGUCACCCCAUUGAUCGCCAGGGUUGAUCCGGCUGAUCUGGCUGGCUAGGCGGGUGUCCCCUUCCUCCCUCACCGCUCCACGUGCGUCCCUCCCGAAGCUGCGCGCUCGGUCGAAGACCAUCCCUGAUAGAGGAGGACCGUUCUUGACCAUUCUUCCGGCAAGGAUAUCCGAGUAGCUGCGCUCCCCUGCUAGAACCUCCAAACAAGCUCUCAAAGCCAGUCCAGGCAAAUAGUUCGAGAGACACUAUCUCAAAACUACCCAUCACAAAAAGAGCUGGUGGAGUGG
rnacentral:snRNA from 1 species